UUGGGGAGUACCCGCUUUGAUGCUUCAAAUUUCAUCAUUCUGCCUCGGGGUGUGCCGCCUCAGCUCCCGGGGCUGAUGACCCCUUAUCCGACUUUCGGCCUUCUAUGCACAUUACCGGAAAUGUUGUGGUUCUGCAGAUUAUUACCUACCCUUUCCGCUCCUGAUGAGUGGCGUCAGUCACGAAACGCGUAGAGCUACCAGAUCUCUAUUUCUACCCAGAACACCAUUUCUACACAUACUAAGCAUACUGGAAUAUACCAAUGAACUACAAGUCUAUAAAAUACCUUUUUUACCUGGAGACACAUGCCGAUCAGUCUGGUUCUAAUACUGUCUGCAAUAUGAACCCAUAUGUUACGAUGCUAUGCUUUUAUUAUUAUGUUAUCAAAUUGUUUGAAAUCUAUCAUAUAUAUUUGACUACUGGCUACGCAUUUGACUACUAUGUAACUUAUGUGGUCCACUGUAGCCACGUACGACUUACCAGACAAUAUCUGUCAUGUUUUUUCUCCUUGAGCUUAUUAUUUUUGCUCGCUUAUUUAUUACUAUUGUACCAUACUACCAAUAUUGGGACCAUUGGCGUACACCAAUGAAUCCCAAUUUUACUAGUUUUUUCUAAAAUGGAGUGACACGUCAGUUAGUCUGGUUUUUAUUUUUACAUACAUUAUGAACAUGUAUGUUGCCAAGCCAUAUCAACUAUAUGCCAGCAUUAUACCUACUAUGUAUUAUAUACUACUGUAAUUACUGUGCUAACAUGCUAUGUGUGUGGUUCUUGGUGGCAAUGAGCCCACUUGGUACCAUGUUAUGUCAUUAUUAUGUUCUCAAAUCUAUGUGCAAUAAAUUGUAUCAUUUAUGUUUUA